rnacentral:rRNA from 1 species
UACAGAGGGUGCAAGCGUUGUUCGGAAUUAUUGGGCGUAAAGCGCGUGUAGGCGGCUUUGCAAGUCGGGUGUGAAAGCCCUCAGCUCAACUGAGGAAGUGCGCCCGAAACUGCAGAGCUUGAGUACCGGAGAGGAUGGCGGAAUUCCCCAAGUAGAGGUGAAAAUUCGUAGAUAUGGGGAGGAACACCGGUGGCGAAGGCGGCCAUCUGGACGGAUACUGACGCUGAGACGCGAAAAGCGUGGGGAGCAAACAGG